GGAUGAACGUUGGCGGCGUGCCUAACACAUGCAAGUCGAACGGAGAGAGCAAUCUCUGAGUGGCGCACGGGUGAGUAACACGUAGCUUACCUACCCUAGAGAGCGGGAUAACGUUCCGAAAGGAAUGCUAAUACCGCAUAAGCUCACGGACUGUAGAGGUCAGUGAGAAAAGGAGCAAUCCGCUUUAGGAUGGGGCUGCGGCCCAUCAGCUAGUUGGUGCGGUAACGGCGCACCAAGGCGACGACGGGUAGGGGGCCUGAGAGGGUGACCCCCCACACUGGGACUGAGACACGGCCCAGACUCCUACGGGGGGCAGCAGUGAGGAAUAUUGCACAAUGGGCGAAAGCCUGAUGCAGCGACGCCGCGUGGGUGAAGAAGGUCUUCGGAUCGUAAAGCCCUUUUCUGCGUGACGAGGAAGGACGGUAGCGCAGGAAUAAGUCUCGGCUAACUACGUGCCAGCAGCCGCGGUAAAACGUAGGAGACAAACGUUAUCCGGAGUUACUGGGCGUAAAGGGCGUGCAGGCGGUUUCUUAAGUUCGUCGUGAAAUCGCCCGGCUUAACCGGGCGGGGUCGAUGGAUACUGGGGAACUAGAGGGCGGUAGAGGCGUGUGGAAUUCCGGGUGUAGUGGUGAAAUGCGUAGAUAUCCGGAGGAACACCAGUGGCGAAGGCGACACGCUGGGCCGUACCUGACGCUAAGACGCGACAGCAUGGGGAGCGAACGGGAUUAGAAACCCCGAUAGUCCAUGCCGUAAACGAUGCCAACUGGGUGUUCUCCUCCCGCAAGGGAGGGGGGUACCGAAGCAAACGCGAUAAGUUGGCCGCCUGGGGAGUACGGUCGCAAGGCUAAAACUCAAAGGAAUUGACGGGGGCCCGCACAAGCAGCGGAGCGUGUGGUUUAAUUCGAGGCUACACGAAGAACCUUACCUGGGUUUGACAUGCAAGUGGUAGUGAACUGAAAAGGGAACGACUUCGGAGCUGCACAGUGCUGCAUGCUGUCGUCAGCUCGUGCGUGAGGUGUUCGGUAAGUCCGCAAC
rnacentral:rRNA from 1 species